rnacentral:rRNA from 1 species
AGUGAACGCUGGCGGCGUGCUUAACACAUGCAAGUCGAACGAGAAACGGAUUUAGCUUGCUAAAUUGCAGUCUAAGUGGCGCACGGGUGAGUAAUGUAUAGAUAAUAUGCCUUUUACUAAGGGAUAACAGUUGGAAACGGCUGCUAAUACCUUAUAUGCCUUUAAUACAUCAUUAUGCAAGGGAAAGAUUUAUUGGUAAAAGAUUAGUCUGUAUUGUAUCAGUUAGUUGGUGAUGUAAUGGCUCACCAAGACUAUGACGCAUAACUGGUUUGAGAGGAUGGUCAGUUAGACUGGAACUGAGACACGGUCCAGACUCCUACGGGAGGCAGCAGUUGGGAAUAUUGCACAAUGGGGGAAACCCUGAUGCAGCAAAGCCGCGUGGAGGAUGACACAUUUCGGUGCGUAAACUCCUUUUAUAUAGGAAGAUAAUGACGGAACUAUAUGAAUAAGCACCGGCUAACUCCGUGCCAGCAGCCGCAGUAA